CGCUAGGAGGAGCGGUAUCUCACUCUCUCCUGCACAUGGACUCCGGAGGAGCAGAAUAGGCUGAUGAGUAUGUGUGAGCCCAGCCAGAGGUGGGACUUCUUGGUUAAAAGCGCCACGUUUUCGAAGCUUUCCCUGGCUCUGAAAUAAUUGCCUGCCUAGCGCGUGAUGACAAUCAAAACCUGCUUCAUUUUGUGUUGCUGAAAACUAGCUACUGAGAUCAAUAUAAGGGCUGCAGCUUUGGAAAGUGACAUGGAUGAAAGCAAAUCUGGGUGGACCGAACCUGAUCAUGGUGAGACCUGGCCUUUUCCCUGUCUUCCCUCCUUGGACAGUUUUGGUCUCAUCUCAUAUACUUUCCUCAAAGAGGCUAUUUAAAGGGAAACUAUAUCUACUUGCCUCAAAUCAUCACUGUGAAAUAGACACUGGCAAUUCUAUAGUAUUUGGUUUCAAUAAGACAAAAAUAAACACAAAUUACAUCCAUUUAACUUUUAUUUUAAAUCAUCUGCUGGGAUUCUGGUUUUCUUCUAGAAACAUAAUUGUGUAUCAGUUAACACUCCAAGUUAGGAAGAUUAUAGGUAUAAUUUAGGGCAAUAAAAUGACUGGGGAACAUUUUCUAUAAUUGUAAAUUGAAAUGAAAUCUUUGGAAACAGCUAAAUGACUUUUGGCAAAGUUAAACCUUGGCCAAAGGAACUGAAGAUGCUGGGUGAUAUCUCUAGCUCUCCAGAUCAUGUGGCUGUAACAUAUUGGGCUCUUUCUGUUGACCAGUAAUAUUCCAGUUAUCUCCAUCUGCUUAGCUGCUCUAGUUUAGCUUACCUAUCCACCUUAUUUUGUGGUAUUCUAAGAUACUGAUUGAUGUGUGUCUAUGUCAGGAUUUAGAUUUGUCUGCAAGUGACAGAAGCUUAAAUAAAGACAGGAGUUUAUUUUUCUUCCAUAAUAAAGUUCAAGAUCAGGGACCCCAUGCUUCUUCUGCAUAGUUCAAGAUCCUUCCUUCUACUUCUAUAUUCCACCAGCAUGGAGGAGGGCGAUGGACGUGAAGGGCGUGCUCUGUUCCUUCAAGUCUACCAGCUGAGAGUUGCACAUAGCACUACUGUUCACAGCCCAUCAGUUGUGACUAGAUCACACAGUAGCCCACAGCCACAAGGGAGGUGAACCAUAAUGUCUCUACUUUGGGAGAGUAUGCGCUCAGCUAAAUAAUCCAGGUUUCUGUUGCUGCAGACAAC